GGGGAAAUGUCCAGAGGGAAUAGAGGAGGGUGCGCAGAGUAUUCGAGGAUGGAGGACGAAGGGAAGUGUUGGCAUGUAGAGCUGUGUGUUGUGUGUGUGCAUGUAUGAGGAAUAUGCAUAGGCCUUAGAGUAUGGGGUAUGGGAGAGUGGUGUGCGCGUAUGUGUUGUGUGGUGUGGGGAGCGGUAUGCAUUCCGAGAGUGCAGUGUAGUGUGUGCGGUGUCCAGACUUGCGGUAUGAGAAGUGUGGUGUGUGUGUUAAGUGGUGUAUGUGCAGAAGGUGUGUUACCUUGAGAUGCGUGAAGAGUAUUGUAGGUGCUUAGGGGUUGUAAGUAGGGUGUGCGGGAGAACUAGCUGGAGAUUUCUCUCCGAGGAUCCAGCCACGGAGCAAGGCCCAGAUGAAGUCUUGGGGGAGAACCUCAGGUGAGUUCAGCUUUGGGUCCAGUCCCGUCUCCAGAUCUGGCAGAAAAUUUCCUCACACGCAGGUGAACGAAUUUGACCUGCGCUCAAGUGCGCUAGGGAGAGUGCUGUGGUCGCUCAAAUCGGUACUUAGACCUCUUGAGGCCUCCGGCAGCCCCGCCCUGGCCCGCAGUCCCGGGUGUGGGUGAUUCAGGCCGCCAGCGCAGCUUCCGAACCGCGGGUUGCAGAGGCUGUGCCUGAGGCUGGGGUGGAGAGAUCGGGGUCCAGGCGUGGGGACUGGGGCGCGGUGGAGAGAACGCGCCUGCGCGUCGACCUUAUGGAAGGUUCUGGUCGGUCAAAGGCCCAGGGGCUUUCCUAUGCAUUGUUAAAGACCUCCCCCCAAAACCAAGAACUGUAUUGCCUGGGGAAGCUGAGCCCCUGUGUCCGAGGCAGCACCGGGGUUCUCGCCCACCCUCCUUGAAGCCACUUGCUGGUGGGUGUAUGGAGGCCUUCCAAAGACUCCCGGACGUUUGCGUGGGUUUCAGUUCGGCCCAGAGCUUCAGAAAGAGCGAACCAGCCUCUCUGUAUUUUUAGCAGGCGGAGCAGAAUUUGAAACAGCAUCCUACCGAUCCUGCGCCUGGUAAAUGAUGACUCGCCAGAAAGCAAAGACGCAACCCUGCCUGGUAGGAAGUCUGAAUCAGAAGAGUCACACCAAGAAACAUCAUCCUGAAGGGAUCUUCAGAGGUUGAAGUCUUGAUGAAGCUGUCCAUGCCCAGCACAGAGCCCAGGUGAGCCGUGCCAUGGGUGGACAGUGCUGCCAGCUGUCCGUGUUUUAGCAGUGGGAUCCGGAAUCGGUGGGGCCCAUCUCUCAAGGAGAGUUGCCACUCUUCAUCUCCAUCAUGAAGACACAGCUGGAUCACCUCGGCAGGAGCCUACACUGAUUCUGUUCUGUGAAGAACAGAGACCCUUCUCUGCUUUGGUUUCCUUUAGAAAUGGACCUGGCUCUGUCUCCCACAUAUCCCAGCCUUCCACCACUCCAAUUCCUUGCUUCUAUCUGUGGAACUAAAGCAGGGUUCUUGUGUUUCCUGUGUUCACUUCCUCAUUUGUAAUCAUGAUUCUGCGACUAACUGCCACGCUGUCUCCUCAUAUUCCUGAACUACCAAAGCCAGGGCUGGACAGUCCUGGUGGAACCUCUCUUCCUUAGCACACGUAAGUAGACACAAACAUCCUACAGACAAAACUUUCAUGUAGGACAAACAAAAGCCCAGUGGCUGGACAAGUACCCCCAGAUUUCCAAAUAAAUCCUCACAGAGAUGCUCAGGGAUGCUCCCUCUGGUGCAGUGAAAAUAAGGACUCCUGUCAAAACAAUAAGAACAAAGGUCUCCUUCCCCUUGAAAUAACUCAAAUGCUGCACAGAAGGCAGCAGGCAUGGUUUUCAAAUGCUAAGCAUUAAACAAGGUAGGACAGUAACUGAGUAUCAAGUAAGUGCUCCAAUACAUCAUGUAGUAGCUUAAGAGCUGCCAGAAAUGAUGCCAGCUGAGGAGUCCAGGCAGAGGCAAAAGACCUUCCUGGGUUUAAGAGACAGGGCUGAGCUCAGGAGAUCAAGCUAAUGUGUGCUGGUUUGAUUUUUGUCAAUUAUACUUUACUACAACUGUAAAAACGAUGCUAAAAGCACAUUGUGAAAUGUUAAAUGUCAGAAGUGACAAAUAUCUGAUAAUAUCUA